UCACUGUUGCCAGCACGUUAUGGUGGGGACUCAGUGGAGACCGCCGGGGUCAACUCGGAGGAAGGUGGGGAUGACGUCAAGUCAUCAUGCCCCUUAUGUCCAGGGCUUCACGCAUGCUACAAUGGCCGGUACAAAGAGUUGCGAGCCUGUGAGGGUGAGCGAAUCUCGGAAAGCCGGUCUCAGUUCGGAUUGGGGUCUGCAACUCGACCCCAUGAAGUCGGAGUCGCUAGUAAUCGCAGAUCAGCAACGCUGCGGUGAAUACGUUCCCGGGGCUUGUACACACCGCCCGUCAAGUCAUGAAAGUCGGUAACACCCGAAGCCGGUGGCCUAACCUGUGUGGGGGAGCCGUCGAAGGUGGGACUGGUAAUUAGGACUAAGUCGUAAC
rnacentral:rRNA from 1 species